AUUGAACGCUGGCGGCAGGCCUAACACAUGCAAGUCGAGCGGAUGAAGAGAGCUUGCUCUCUGAUUCAGCGGCGGACGGGUGAGUAAUGCCUAGGAAUCUGCCUGAUAGUGGGGGACAACGUUUCGAAAGGAACGCUAAUACCGCAUACGUCCUACGGGAGAAAGCGGGGGACCUUCGGGCCUUGCGCUAUCAGAUGAGCCUAGGUCGGAUUAGCUAGUUGGUGAGGUAAUGGCUCACCAAGGCGACGAUCCGUAACUGGUCUGAGAGGAUGAUCAGUCACACUGGAACUGAGACACGGUCCAGACUCCUACGGGAGGCAGCAGUGGGGAAUAUUGGACAAUGGGCGAAAGCCUGAUCCAGCCAUGCCGCGUGUGUGAAGAAGGUCUUCGGAUUGUAAAGCACUUUAAGUUGGGAGGAAGGGCAUUAACCUAAUACGUUAGUGUUUUGACGUUACCGACAGAAUAAGCACCGGCUAACUUCGUGCC
rnacentral:rRNA from 1 species